GCCGUACCAUGCUGAAUAUACCGGUUCUCGUUAGAUCACCGAAGUCAAGCAUCAUUGGGCGCGGUCAGUACUUGGGUGGGUGACCACCUGGGAACACUGCGUGCCGUU